rnacentral:rRNA from 1 species
UACAGAGGGUGCAAGCGUUGUUCGGAAUUAUUGGGCGUAAAGCGCGUGUAGGCGGCCUUGCAAGUCGGGUGUGAAAGCCCUCAGCUCAACUGAGGAAGCGCGCCCGAAACUGCAGAGCUUGAGUACCGGAGAGGAUGGCGGAAUUCCCGGUGUAGAGGUGAAAUUCGUAGAUAUCGGGAGGAACACCAGUGGCGAAGGCGGCUAUCUGGGCAGAUACUGACGCUGAGGUGCGAAAUCGUGGGGAGCAAACAUG